CCAAUAGCGUAUAUUAAAGUUGUUGCAGUUAAAAAGCUCGUAGUUGAAUUUCGGGAUCAAUACGUCGGUCGUGCUUCGGUACGUACUGGCGUCAUUGAUUUCUCCCUUCUGACGAACCAUGAUGUCAUUAAUUUGGUGUUAUGGGAAAUCAGGACUGUUACUUUGAAAAAAUUAGAGUGUUUAAAGCAGGCUCACGCUUGAAUACAUUAGCAUGGAAUAAUGAAAUAGGACGUUCGAUCCUAUUUUGUUGGUUUUAGGAUCAACGUAAUGAUUAAUAGGGAUAGUUGGGGGCAUUAGUAUUCAAUUGUCAGAGGUGAAAUUCUUGGAUUUAUUGAAGACUAACUACUGCGAAAGCAUUUGUCAAGGAUGUUUUCAUUAAUCAAGAACGAAAGUUAGGGGAUCGAAGACGAUCAGAUACCGUCGUAGUCUUAACCAUAAACUAUGCCGACUAGGGAUCGGAUGAUGUUAAUUUUUUAAUGACUCAUUCGGCGCCUUACG
rnacentral:rRNA from 1 species